AGGCCUAACAAUAGGAAGGAGAAAAUAACAAGACAGAAUGAAAAGCUGAAAAGAAGAAAACAAGAUCCACCUCGAACCUCUCUCCAAUUUCAUCAGAAAAAUUCAAAAUUGAUUAGGAAGAAGAAGAACAAGAAAAAAAGAAAGAAUGAGAGAAGAAGAAUCAAAUUGGUUCGAAGAGUUACCUUCACCGGAGGAACUCAUGCCCUUAUCCCAAACCCUAAUAAGCCCUCAUCUUGCCGUAGCUUUUGACAUAACAAACUCUUCCCACCACCAAUUUCCACUUCAGCCACCUUCCGCCGCCGAGGACGAACCGGCGCGAACACUCAAGCGGCCCAGACUCGUGUGGACCCCACAGCUCCACAAGCGCUUCGUCGAUGCCGUCGCCCACUUGGGGAUCAAGAACGCCGUUCCCAAGACCAUAAUGCAGCUCAUGAGCGUCGACGGUUUGACCCGGGAAAACGUCGCCAGCCACCUCCAGAAAUACCGCCUCUACUUGAAGCGCAUGCAGGGUUUGGCCGGAGGUUCCGCCGCCGACUCCGCCACGGACCACCUAUUCGCCAGCUCGCCUGUGCCGCCGCACUUCCUGCACCCCGCUACCCGCCCGGCCUCUGACCAUUACCUGCCCUUUGUGCCGGGGUUGCAGCAGCACCGCAAUCACCACCACCACCAGCACAUGGCGGUGCCUGCUCAUUUUGGCUCGCCACGGAAUGCGCACUUUGAACUCCCCGUUCUGUCGAGGAUGGGAGCUUCGGUGCCGGGUUACGUGGAGGAUGUGGAGUCGGGAGGGAGGAAGGUUCUUACUUUGUUUCCAGCUGGAGAUGAUUGAAUGUGAUCGAUGGGUGAUGGCAAGGUUUUAAAUUAUGGGUGGGGUUGUGAUUUAUUAGCGUUUUUUUAUGUUGUAAAAAGUUGCAGACAAAUGUGGUUGAUGCAGUUACAAUAGUGGUUAACUUCAAAAAGUUGUGACUGAGAUUGCUGUUGCUUACUGUUUUUGAUGAUAACGAUGGUUUUUUUCAUUGUUGUUCAUAGGUAUUAUCUUUGUUUGUACUGUGUUCCGCCCCGUGAAAGUAAUGUUUGAUGGUGUAUUUUAGGUUUGGUCAGGGUCAAGGAUUUUAAGAACUGUCUGUGACCACAAUUUCAGGCUCAAUCUGAAAGCUUUCGAACUCUUUGCAACCGCAAUUGAGGCUGCUUCUGUCUGCAAUGAUUACGAUCUUGACGAGAAGGCAUUUUGAAACCUCGGCUAGUGUCUAAAUCGGCUGCACUCAAAGCUAUCUAGAUUCUACGGUGUUACCAAUUGUGAAGUUUUAUAUCAGCAUUGGCAGGAACAAGUUUUCUAUUUAGGAGGCUGAAGAUAGUAAUAAGUGAAGUGUGCUUUGUGCUGGUUAGAUAUCGAAGGAAGCUAAUCAAAUUGGCCCAUUGUUAGAUACCGAAUGUGCUUUCUUCCCUGUUUCUUGUUAGAAUUGUAUAUUGUUUGGCUCUGUAGAAGAAUUAAAUGUGUAAUGGAAAGCUGAUUAAAAGCCAGUUUAUAUUUCCUUGUUGGUUUAA